ACUGCAGCUCAUGUUCAUGUCUUUAAAGCCCCAAUGAGAGUAAUUUUCUUCGCUCAUUUAGGAUGGCACCAAACCUCCACUGAGUAAAAAUGUAAAUUUGCAAGUAGUUGCUGGUGAUCCUCGCUGUGAUUGCUAUUCGGGUGCAGACCUCUCUGCACUGGUACGAGAAGCUUCUCUCUGUGCCUUGAGGCAGGAAAUGGCAAGACAGAAGACUGGAAAUGAAAAAGGUGAGCUCAAGAUUAGCCAUAUGCACUUUGAAGAAGCUUUCCAGAAAGUGAAACCAUCUAUCUCAGUAAAGGUAAGAAUUUUCCUUCAGUGUGUAGAAAAAGGUUAGAAGUGAUAUCAAUGGACUAGGAAUCAUAAAUCCUAACUCAUUUGUCAUUUGUCCCAACUCUCCAUGAAAAAAAAAGCUGUUAUUUUGUAUUUUGGAAAUUAGCCAAAAAGUAUUGAACGUUUUCCAGAGAUUUAAAUUUAAACUAGAGUACAGU